UUCCAUACGAAAACCAUUAUCCAAUAAAAUGAUGCAAAAUGUUCCUAAAUAAUUCAAUUAAUUAUAGAUUAUGACAAAAAUACUCAAUACAUAAAGUUACCCUGUACCACAAACCCUAAACUCUAUUUACAUUUAUGUUUACCUUUCAUUUAUUUUAGUAACCGGGUGAGAUUAGUAAAAUAACUAAGGAAAAAAAAUAGAAGGUGGGACAUUUGAGUUUUCAUUUAUCGAAGACGGGGAGGAGAAAACAAAAUAGGCGUAUUUCAAGAAAAAAAAUAGAAGAUAAAAUCUAGCCUACAUCCUAUUGAAAAAACCCUAGCUAGCCUACAUUUUUCUCACUUUUCUCUCUCUCAGACCCUCACGGCGUUCUCCUCUCCUAAAGCUCCAUCUAUCAUCUAUGUCCUCUAUGGAUCUCAAUCUUUGAAGCUCUUAUCCCUAUCAUCCCUAUCAGUAAGACAAGAUUGAUCUUUCUUCUUCCUAUAUCAUUCUUUUAGAGCUAGUCCACCUAUUGGGAAGGCCUGAGUCAUAGGUGUGACUUGAGUCGCCACGUGGCAGUAAAACUAGAGGUCAGUUUCCACCCACGAUUUUGGUUUCUGGGUCGCCACGUGACUGUGACUGUUUAUUAAAUUUUAUAUUAGGUAUUUAAGUAUAAAUAAUGAUCUUAUUAUGUUAAUAAAAUAAAUUAUAUGAUACACUGAAAUUUAAAUUUUGUAUUCAUAAUUUCCUUAUUUCAUAAUUUCCUAAUCAAAAUAUAAUAAUUUAAGAUUUCCUAUUUAAAAACACACAAACAAAUACAACAAUUUAAAUAUCCUAAUUAAAAACACACAAACAUAUUUCCAUGUUUUACUAACAAAACAUAAAUGAAACAUCAUCGACAUUUCAUUUCACAUGGCACACAGUCAUGUCUGCCUCUCGACUACGCCAUAGACGGCUACACACACCACGAGUGUACACAACCAGCACCCUAGCGUGCAAUCUCAGGUUAUACACACAACAGGUGUAAACAACCAGCACUCAAACGUGCAACCUCAGGCUACACACACCACGAGUGUACACAGCCAGCACCCUAGCGUGCAAUCUUAGGUUAUACACACAACAUGUGUAAACAACCAGCACUCAAACGUGCAAUCUCAGGCUACACACACCACGAGUGUACACAGCCAGCACUCCAACAUGCAAAUCUUUGGCUACACACACCACGAGUGUACACAGCCAGCAUAUAAACAUGUAAUCUCAAGCUACACACGCCACGCGCAUAUACAACAACUUCACCUCGAGGCAAGGUACCUCAUCAUGAUCUUUCAUGGCACCACUCCUGCCAUGAUAACUUCUCAUGGCACCACUCUAUCAGAUCUAUAUAGUACCACUAGAAUAUUUCAACAAGAUCCUCCAGUACAGUCACGACAUGUUAUCAAAGUUACACUUGUCAGCUACUCCAUGUAGCCACUCUCUGAGAUCGCCCUCCAUGAUAGACGACUUUACUCUUCAUGGUCUCUCCAUGGUCUCCUCAUGGUUUCUCUUUAGUUUUUUUUUGUUUUAUUUUAUUUUCUUUUUUCUCUAUACAUAGCAUGAUCUCUAUGAUCUCUCCACCGCUACUCCGGCCUUAUGGUUACAUGUCGGUUGCAAACAUAUGGAUAUUCACCAUGGCCGCUUCCCAUGGUUCUUCUAUCCUCAUGACUUUGUGCUCUCUUGGUUACGUUAAGGUCUUUGAUUACUCUGCCAUCAUCCUCCAUGGUGACAAUUUACGGUCACGCCACGCGGUUACGCCACACGAUCACGCCUCAUAGCCUAAUGGCUAAACCUACUAGCUAUACCUAAUGGCUAAACCUCAUAGCCACACCUCUCGCUACACUAUUUAUGAUCAGCCCCUUUAUGAUUGCUCCCCAAAAUUUCUCUCCACAAUUGCUUCUCCAAAGUGUGAGGUUCUGACACCUCGUUACUACUAGUGCACAAGGUUGCAACACCUAUCAACAUAAUAUCACCAUAGAUAAGCCAACUGUGGCAAGUACGAUCCCAGGCACAUGGCGUCCCUUUGCCAACCGUGCCAACACACUCCCCGAGCACCCGGCAUCUAUCAUCUAUCAACUACCCGGGACGAGUCUACAAACACUCCCCGGCGCGUGACACCUACAAGUCACCAAAGUGCUUAAGGCACUUCCCGACACAUGACAUUCCUCACCUCUCGAACAUGCCAUCCGAAAUCCCCCAUGCCAAAUCAAUCCUCGUUUCGGUGCCCAGCCACCAUAAUCUCCCCUGGCACUGGGGGACUUGGGCAACAACUUUAUAUGCCGACAUUUGCCAUGCCUUCUUGAUACUCGGCAUGGCUCCUCGGUACCCUGGCCUCAUCAUAACGACUCACCACGACACAGUGAAACUCUCCCUGCCUCAUCAGACACCCUUACCACGUCUUAUGGCGUGAUCUCGGAACACUUUGGCAACACUCGCCUUACCCCAUCGACAUCUUGGCCACGCUUCCUAGCGUGCUCUCACUACGCCAUAGCGAUCGUCACCCCUUCCUCGAUAGCUCUUUACAUGCCCUAUCGGCACCAUCACUAUGCCCUAGUGGCACCUCUCGCCAUGCCUCAGCGGCAAUUCCUCUUUGCCUCAAUGGCACCCUGGCCGGGCCCAGCGGCACCCAUCGCCAUGCCCCAGCAACACUCCUCACCACACCUCGAUGGCACACUUGCCUCAAUAGCGAAAUGGUGAACUACGUUUGGUUUGAUCCCACAAACGGGUACGUAGGCACUCUAGCACUCGCCGAGAGGCAACCACUAAAUAUUUCACAUCAAUCUCCCCUUGGAGCACAUACAUGUUGGAAUAGCUCAGCUAGCUAGAGCAUAUAGCCGAUACAAAUCGAAGGCUACUAAACGCCUAAGGCAUACAAACAUGCCGGUACCCGCUACCCACGCGAGAUGCUCACCAGAGUUCCCACACCUGGCACCAAGAGGUACCUAAACUUUGACCCCCGAUCGCCCUGCAAUCUCCCGACACUUCACGGGAGCAACGAUCCCGAUGUCUCACACGUGUAUCUCCGAGCAAGAUAUCAUGACAUCAUGAUUUCUCAUAACGUGACAGAGCUAUAGCAGCACACGACACCCCACUUAGAGGGAGCCGGUCCAUCCCCUCCCUUGCAUGGGGACUUGGGGGACUGGGGACUGGUUAUGUCGCCACUAGUAAGGCUCGUACUCCUGAUACUCCAUCAGAUAAAGUCCCCACCCAAGAGAGCCUCUUGACCGCGGACUUGGGGACUUGUUAAUACAUCAUAUUUGAGAGAUAGAACAUCGGUCUUACUCAUCUAAGAAGACACAUAUUGCCACAUAAAAUGGGUGUGGGCCUUAACUAGGCCCAAGAAACCUACACUCUCCCUUGAGGGCAUAAUAGUAAUACACUCUCCAGUAAGGGCAAAAUAGUACUUUUAGGAUGCAAUCACCCUAUCUCUAUAAAUCACUACGCCAGAUAAUGCAUCACACGACGGGGAAAAAACGUCGUCUGUUAAAGGUCAAAUCCGUUGUUAAUCCGAUCACUGUCUGAUCAACAUAUCACACAACAGGUAAAAAGAGCUUGUCUGACAGACUGACACACAACGCUACAAUAAAAACCAUUGUGUGAUUCUCUGCAGAUAUCAUCGACAGCUGCCGACACAUGUCGAGCUGCUUCUUGGCAACUAUCGACAUAUGUCGAUGAAAUAUGCCGAAAGUCAGACAAUAGUUUUAUGUAAAAUGAUGUUGUGUGAGCCUCGGCAGAUAUUAUCGACACAUGCCGACACAUGCCGAGCUGCUUCUCGGCAGCUGUCGACAUAUGUCGAUGAUAUAUGUCGAAAAUCAUACAACAAUUUUUCAAUGAAAACCCUUGUGUGAGUUGACAAUCACACAACUGUUCCUUUUAAGAGCUGUUAUGUGAAUAUCGACAGAUCUCAUCAAGAUAUGUCGACAUAUGUCGAGGUCGCUCUCGAUAAUAUAUGUCAACAUUCACCCAACAGCUUUCGACAUGAAAACUAUUGUGUGAGGUGAUGUUCAUACAACAGAUUUUCUCGAUUGCAUGGUUGUUUGAUUGUUAAAGAGUAGACAUGAUUUUUGUUAAUAGGCAUUGCGUGAAUAGAUACUCACACAACGUUACAUUAUAAAAUAAUUGGUUGUAUAAUCAUUUUCAUUAGACAACAUUGGAUUGUCAUUAAUGUGUUGUAUGUCCUACUAAUUUACCAAAUAAACAAUAGCAACU
rnacentral:lncRNA from 1 species